UCUAAAUGAUGAUAAGAAUUUCUUCACCUGAACUUCCAUGUCGAAAUCCUUUCACGUUGACUUUUUAUCUGAUAGUC